rnacentral:tRNA from 1 species
GCGGGGGUAGCUCAGCGUGGGAGAGCACGCGCUUUACAAGCGCGAGGUCGCAGGUUCGAGCCCUGCCCCCUGCA